rnacentral:tRNA from 1 species
GCCCAGGUGGCGGAAUUGGUAGACGCGCUGGUCUCAAACACCAGUUCUUCGGAGUACCGGUUCGAUCCCGGUCCUGGGUA